rnacentral:rRNA from 1 species
GUGGGGGAUAUUGCACAAUGGAGGAAACUCUGAUGCAGCGACGCCGCGUGAGUGAAGAAGUAUUUCGGUAUGUAAAGCUCUAUCAGCAGGGAAGAUAAUGACAGUACCUGACUAAGAAGCCCCGGCUAACUACGUGCCAGCAGCCGCGGUAAUACGUAGGGGGCAAGCGUUAUCCGGAUUUAUUGGGUGUAAAGGGCGUGUAGGCGGGACAGCAAGUCAGAUGUGAAAACCAGAGGCUCAACCUCUGGCCUGCAUUUGAAACUGUUGUUCUUGAGUGUCGGAGAGGUAAUCGGAAUUCCGUGUGUAGCGGUGAAAUGCGUAGAUAUACGGAGGAACACCAGUGGCGAAGGCGCCUUUCUGGACUGUGUCUGACGCUGAGAUGCGAAAGCCAGGGUAGCGAACGGGAUUAGAAACCCCGGUAGUCC